rnacentral:rRNA from 1 species
UACGGGGGGGGCAAGCGUUGUUCGGAAUUACUGGGCGUAAAGGGCUCGUAGGCGGCCAACUAAGUCGGAUGUGAAAUCCCCAGGCUUAACCUGGGAACUGCAUCCGAUACUGGAUGGCUUGAAUUUGGGAGAGGGAUGCAGAAUUCCAGGUGUAGCGGUGAAAUGCGUAGAUAUCUGGAGGAAUACCGGUGGCGAAGGCGGCAUCCUGGACCGAGAUUGACGCUGAUGAGCGAAAGCUAGGGGAGCAAACGGG